AAUAAGAUGCCUGAAAAAGGAUUAUUCUGAUAGAAUAAAUUAUGUAAGAAUUUACUCUUAUUG
rnacentral:tRNA from 2 species